AUCACCCUAAAUCUCUCGCACAAACCUUCUCUUCGUCCUCCUUGUUCGCAAAAAUCAAAUCCUCUGUCGUGUUUCUGCUGAGCCUUCUCUCGCAAUGAAGUCGCUUUCCGAGAUUUCGUCUUCCCCAUCCACGAAAACUCUGUCCUCUGUCGUUUUUGUCGAUUUGCACCCCACCGUUUACCUAGUCGUCAACAUUUAGAUUUACCAUCGUUUUCCCUUCGUCGGUGUUCGUGCAAUCAACGCCUAUCACGCAAGGUCGUUCUAUUUCGCGUUUCUUCCAGUUGUCGUUGCGCACAAACUCGCACCUCCGCCCUCUACUCACUCUGAUCAAUUGUUCCGAAUAUAAGAGAAUAUUUAAUUGCUCCAUGCCAUUGCAAAGGCACUCAAAAGUAUGUCCAUAGAUCUUGUCUUGAUAAUUGGAGGUCCACAAAGAAUUACAAAAGAAAUGCAUAUACAAAAGCAGACUUGCAAUGCACGAAUGCAUAUACAAAAGAAGUUGAGAGUUGCUUGCCUUCUGAUGCAAAUAUCAAUAAUGUUGCGAAGAUUGGCUCUGCUGUUGGUGGUACUUAUUUUAGCUCAUGAACUGGAGGUAGUAGAGGAUGCAGAAUGCAAGUUUAUUUGGAGCCAAGUUUCAUUCAAGGUCAUUGAGUUGGG